rnacentral:rRNA from 1 species
GAUGAACGCUGGCGGCGUGCCUAAUACAUGCAAGUCGAGCGAACAGACGAGGAGCUUGCUCCUCUGACGUUAGCGGCGGACGGGUGAGUAACACGUGGAUAACCUACCUAUAAGACUGGGAUAACUUCGGGAAACCGGAGCUAAUACCGGAUAAUAUAUUGAACCGCAUGGUUCAAUAGUGAAAGACGGUUUUGCUGUCACUUAUAGAUGGAUCCGCGCCGCAUUAGCUAGUUGGUAAGGUAACGGCUUACCAAGGCGACGAUGCGUAGCCGACCUGGGAGGGUGAUCGGCCACACUGGAACUGAGACACGGUCCAGACUCCUACGGGAGGCAGCAGUAGGGAAUCUUCCGCAAUGGGCGAAAGCUUGACGGAGCAACGCCGCGUGAGUGAUGAAGGUCUUCGGAUCGUAAAACUCUGUUAUUAGGGAAGAACAAAUGUGUAAGUAACUAUGCACGUCUUGACGGUACCUAAUCAGAAAGCCACGGCUAACUACGUG